UUUACACCACAACUAUUUCACUUCAUUUAAAUGAGGUUCUGCCUAUCUCUGGUAAAAUAUUUUCAACUUUAUUUACUUGUAUAACAGACAUUCCUGUGGAACCGUGCCACCCAGUAACGUGACAGAUAAAAAGCGUUUUAAGCCUUUUUAUUUGUACAGACAAACAACAAAGUGAAGAAAAAUCGAACGAAGUAUCUACAAACCGACCUAGGGAUUUUCCUAAGCGAUAAAAAGACCUGAGGGUGGAGACCGGUGGGAUGUGAAUUGCAAGAACUUAAACUUUGAAAUUGCAAAACUUGCAAAGAAAAAAGGCGCGCUUGGCUAAUGCGAUUCCGCUUAGAGUAAAAGCCAAAGUAAUUUGGCCUAAAGACAAGUACACCUGAACUGAUAAUUUUUUUUUUUUGGAUGUAAUGAGUCUUUCUUUCAAACUUUUAUGACGUAAAUAAAGACCACUAUGCAUUCAUACACACAUACGUUAUGAGAGAUAACAGUUAA